rnacentral:tRNA from 1 species
GCCGGUGUAGCUCAGCAGGUAGAGCAGCGCAUUCGUAAUGCGAAGGUCGCAGGUUCGACUCCUGUCUCCGGCACCA